rnacentral:rRNA from 1 species
UACGUAGGGUGCAAGCGUUGUCCGGAAUUAUUGGGCGUAAAGAGCUCGUAGGUGGCCUGUCGCGUCGGCUGUGAAAACUCGGGGCUCAACUCCGAGCUUGCAGUCGAUACGGGCAGGCUAGAGUUCGGCAGGGGAGACUGGAAUUCCUGGUGUAGCGGUGAAAUGCGCAGAUAUCAGGAGGAACACCAAUAGCGAAGGCAGCUCGCUGGGACGGUACUGACGCUAAGGCGCGAAAGCGUGGGGAGCGAACAGG